GUGCGUCCGUCCAUUCAAGGGGAACUUUCAGUUGCUUCUCCAACAGUUCUGAGCCAGCCUCGUGGGCGUGGGAUUGUGUUCAUGUGAGCUGGACCUUAUCCCAGGUGAUGUGGGCAAGAGAAGAGUGGUACACCCUGGACUGGUCACCAAUUAAUCGCAGUGCACAUCAGGACAAACACAGAAAUGGAAAAUGUUCUUUCAGUGAACAUGAUAUGCAAGUUUUUACAAUUUGGAAGGACGCCAAUACUGGGGAAAACCCUUCAUCAGCCUCAAUGUUAUUUUUUUCAUGUCACUGUCAUACUUAAACAUACACACUGUACCUUC